UGGUUUCCUCCGCAGCCUGCUGACUCCGCGUGGUCAGCUUCCCCCGCCGCGGUCCCGAUUCCCAGAGAAGCCCUUCCUUCUCCCGCCUUUCUGAGCGGCCUCCGUGCAGGGGGUGACUUACCCAGGGAACUUUUCAUGUGAGGCCACGGCCUGGAGCCUCUUUAUUUGGGGCUGCCGGGGCUUUCCCCAGGCUGUUGUCCCCCUUCCCGGCCUUUCACAAAGCGCGCUUCUCUCCUCCGAUGCGCAGCCUGGGCACCCGGACCGCAUCCGUGCGAGCCUGCCGGGUCAGGUCAGCGGGAGAUGGGCAAAGCCCAGGCCUGAGUCAGAAGGCAAACACGAGGCAGGCGAAGCACCCCCCCCCCCCAUGGGAACUGAAAGCACCCCUUCCGCAGUGGGGACUGCCCUGAGCCCGCAGGAGCCUGCGAGCCUGACCCCAAGGCAACGAUCCACCUGCCAUUCACUGCCCACCCGCUUGGCCCACCGACCUCUGUCCCACACUCGCCUUGUAUGAACUUGGUCGUAUUUUCAGCACUUUGGAGACCGUCUUUGAGCCGCUAGUCCAUUGUCUAGUGGUGCCCUCGUGGAAAUAAAUUCCUUUCCUGUCUUCCCAUCA